UCAGAGACGGCAAGCGUUGUUCGGAUUCACUGGGCGUAAAGGGUCCGCAGGUGGCAAAGCAAGUCUGGCGUGAAAUCCCGCGGCUUAACCGCGGAACUGCGUUGGAUACUGCUCUGCUAGAGGACGGCAGAGGAGACUGGAAUUCACGGUGUAGCGGUGAAAUGCGUAGAUAUCGUGAGGAACACCGGUGGCGAAGGCGAGUCUCUGGACCGUUCCUGACACUCAGGGACGAAAGCGUGGGGAGCAAACGG
rnacentral:rRNA from 1 species